AACGAACGCUGGCGGCAUGCUUUACACAUGCAAGUCGAACGGUAACAGGCCGCAAGGUGCUGACGAGUGGCGAACGGGUGAGUAAUGCAUCGGAACGUGCCCAGUCGUGGGGGAUAACGCAGCGAAAGCUGCGCUAAUACCGCAUACGAUCUAUGGAUGAAAGCGGGGGACCGUAAGGCCUCGCGCGAUUGGAGCGGCCGAUGUCAGAUUAGGUAGUUGGUGGGGUAAAGGCUCACCAAGCCAACGAUCUGUAGCUGGUCUGAGAGGACGACCAGCCACACUGGGACUGAGACACGGCCCAGACUCCUACGGGAGGCAGCAGUGGGGAAUUUUGGACAAUGGGCGCAAGCCUGAUCCAGCAAUGCCGCGUGCAGGAAGAAGGCCUUCGGGUUGUAAACUGCUUUUGUACGGAACGAAACGGUCCUGUUAAUACCUGGGGCUAAUGACGGUACCGUAAGAAUAAGCACCGGCUAACUACGUGCCAGCAGCCGCCGCGGUAA
rnacentral:rRNA from 1 species